rnacentral:rRNA from 1 species
CGUAGGGUGCAGGCGUUAAUCGGAAUUACUGGGCGUAAAGCGUGCGCAGGCGGUCUCUUAAGACAGGUGUGAAAUCCCCGGGCUUAACCUGGGAACUGCGCUUGUAACUGAGAGGCUAGAGUGUGGCAGAGGGGGGUGGAAUUCCACGUGUAGCAGUGAAAUGCGUAGAGAUGUGGAGGAACACCGAUGGCGAAGGCAGCCCCCUGGGCUAACACUGACGCUCAUGCACGAAAGCGUGGGGAGCAAACAGGAUUAGAUACCCUGGUAGUCCACGCCCUAAACUAUGUCAACUGGUUGUCGGGGAAGCAAUUCCUUGGUAACGAAGCUAACGCGUGAAGUUGACCGCCUGGGGAGUACGGCCGCAAGGUUA